GACGAACGCUGGCGGUGUGCUUAACACAUGCAAGUCGAACGGUAAGGCCCUUUCGGGGGUCCACGAGUGGCGAACGGGUGCGUAACACGUGAGUAACCUGCCCUCAUCUCUGGGAUAACAGUCGGAAACGGUUGCUAAUACUGGAUAUGAGCUUGCAAGGCAUCUUGUGGGUUGGAAAGAUUUUUUUGGUUGGGGAUGGACUCGCGGCCUAUCAGCUUGUUGGUGAGGUAGUGGCUCACCAAGGCCUCGACGGGUAGCCGGCCUGAGAGGGCGACCGGCCACAUUGGGACUGAGAGACGGCCCAAACUCCUACGGGAGGCAGAAGUGGGGAAUAUUGAACAAGGGACGGAAGGCUGAUGCAGCAACGCCGCGGGCGGGAUGACGGCCUUCGGGUUGUAAACCGCUUUCAAUUGUGACGAAGCUUUUUGUGACGGUAGCAGUAGAAGAAGCACCGGCUAACUACGUG
rnacentral:rRNA from 1 species